UACGGAGGGUGCAAGCGUUAAUCGGAAUUACUGGGCGUAAAGCGUGCGCAGGCGGUUUGUUAAGUCUGUUGUGAAAUCCCCGAGCUCAACUUGGGAAUUGCAAUGGAUACUGGCAGGCUGGAGUAUGGUAGAGGAAGGUGGAAUUCCUGGUGUAGCGGUGAAAUGCGCAGAUAUCAGGAGGAACACCGGUGGCGAAGGCGGAUCUCUGGGCCGAUACUGACGCUGAGGAGCGAAAGCGUGGGGAGCGAACAGG
rnacentral:rRNA from 1 species